AGCGAACGCUGGCGGCAGGCCUAACACAUGCAAGUCGAACGAAGUCUUCGGACUUAGUGGCGGACGGGUGAGUAACACGUGGGAACGUGCCUUUAGGUUCGGAAUAACUCAGGGAAACUUGUGCUAAUACCGAAUGUGCCCUUCGGGGGAAAGAUGUAUCGCCUUUAGAGCGGCCCGCGUCUGAUUAGCUAGUUGGUGAGGUAAAGGCUCACCAAGGCGACGAUCAGUAGCUGGUCUGAGAGGAUGAUCAGCCACAUUGGGACUGAGACACGGCUCAAACUCCUACGGGAGGCAGCAGUGGGGAAUCUUGCGCAAUGGGCGAAAGCCUGACGCAGCCAUGCCGCGUGAAUGAUGAAGGUCUUAGGAUUGUAAAAUUCUUUCACCGGGGACGAUAAUGACGGUACCCGGAGAAGAAGCCCCGGCUAACUUCGUGCCAGCCGCCGCGGUAACAC
rnacentral:rRNA from 1 species